AAUCAGCUCAUUGCUCACACCUGAUUGGCCUGUUCCACAAUCCAGGAAGUAAGUAUAAAAGGGCAGCUGAAUAAAGGGUGGUUGCUGGGCCCUCAGGAGCAACUGCCACAACUGACUUUUGGAGCAGCAGGGCGGGAGAACACGCUGAGGUGGCUGGGUCUUGGGAGGCCCCCACUGUCUUCAUUCAAUACAAGAAGACACCGAGGCAUAAAGACUCUUCGCCCCACCCUGCUCUUUCUGGAACAAAGAACACAUCAGAAUCCGCGGUGAAGCUCCUGCGCCCCCACCACCCCGCUGGAGCACCAGGGCUGUUUGGGCAAUAUUUAUGCAGUGACAAGGAUAGUUUUUAUCCUUAAAAUAGAUUAUUUACAAUGUAUCUGGCUAAUUGGGCCCGUACUGUUAUAAUGGGUUAAGACCAGAUGCAUCUAAGUGAUUAGAGAAAAAUCCAGCUCAUGUAUAAUCUGCCCUGUUUUAGAAUUUUCCCACUUCUGAGUCACUUCACAGCAUCCCCAAUGGUCUAGGACCACUGCUUUCCCGGGGCACAAGCCAGGUGGAUGGAGCCCCCAGACCCCGACUGCCAGGCUUGGUCACUUCUCACCAUUGCCAGCCGCUGCUGGAGAAGGGCUCCCCCAGCUUUGAACGCAGGUAGGAUGGUGAUAGAUCACACCCUGUUGACUGCGAACCUCCCUGGGACACCAGCUCCCACUUCUGAGGAGCAGAAGUGCUCACAAGAAGCUAGGGGAGUAGAAUUACUAGCUGCCCUGGGAAAAGGGAGGGUCAGAGCAGGAAGCCAAGGCCACAUAGUGGGCAUCAAAUGCAGGAUUCGAACCCACAGCUAUCCCAGACUGAGCCCGGCUCCUGCCCUUCCAGCAAACCCUCGUAGCAAACCCUAGCAGCACCGGAUCUGAUCACCAACCCCACUGUCCUCGCUAGAUCCUAGUCUCCCUCCAGGUGAAUGUAGACAUGGGGACUUUGGAGACGGCCUGCCAGGGCUCAAACCCCAGCCCCUCUCCAGAUCUGCUGCGUGACCUUGCAGAUGCUCAUCCAUCUCCUUGAGCCUCAGUUUACCCACCUGCAAAACGGUGGCUGUGCCAAGACCUAUAGCCUGGACAAGCUGGGAAGAGGGGGUGGAAUGAUUUGCCCACAUCCGGGCCCAGUGGCUGGGACCCAGCGGGGCUCGGAAAGUGCUGGUCCCUGUCACAGUUGUUUUGAUGUUGGCGCCCAGCAUCGCGGAGGCACGCACCUGCCCAUCGAGUAGGGGAGAGCUCCCCACGCUGGAGUCCCAGCAGUUCCAGAGCUUUGCCCACCCCCUCUCUUCCCCCCAACCCUAUGGCACAGCCUCUUCAUUUGAAGCUCCUCAAUUACUUCAUUGUAGGAAGAACAAAAACUAAAAACAAAGGCCCUCAAUUAGCUCAGGAUUUCUAGUAAUUGAUGUCUGCCUUCAAAGCGGGUAAUAAAGACCCGCUGAGCCGCGGACCAUUGGUAAUGAGUGCUGGUUCCGCCGGAACUGCCGCCACGGGCCCGGCGGGCCACCGGCUGGCCACCCUCAGCUCCGUCUUGUCGUCGGGAGGAACCGGGGCCUGAUUAAUAGCUUAACUGUACUUAAUUCCCCAGAGAAUCAUUAAACACAGUCUCUGUUUCAUUAAACAGAUCCAGGACAAUUCACCUUG